rnacentral:lncRNA from 1 species
CAGACAGCCCAAAAUUAAGGAUUUAACCAAAUUUUCAGCAUUUUUCCUUUUCACUCCGUUUUCGUCCGUUUUCGCUCGUUUGACCUCUGAUUCAUUUCAAAUCGCACCGAGACUCUCAAAACAUAUUUUCGAGCGUAUUUAAAUUCUCUUUUCAUCCACGCUAACGUCGGAUUUAGUCCUCGGUCUAACAUAGCCUUUCGGGUUCCGUUUUUGUGCCCAACGCGCCCCGAAAACACCCGAACGCUCCCGAACUUCACCAGAACCUUUUAAUCACUUUCCAGGCUAACAUACACCGUAACUUCAUAAUUAUAGAAGUUU